rnacentral:rRNA from 1 species
GAUGAACGCUGGCGGCGUGCCUAAUACAUGCAAGUCGAGCGAACGGACGAGAAGCUUGCUUUUCUGAUGUUAGCGGCGGACGGGUGAGUAACACGUGGAUAACCUACCUAUAAGACUGGGAUAACUUCGGGAAACCGGAGCUAAUACCGGAUAAUAUUUUGAACCGCAUGGUUCAAAAGUGAAAGACGGUCUUGCUGUCACUUAUAGAUGGAUCCGCGCUGCAUUAGCUAGUUGGGAAGGUAACGGCUUACCAAGGCAACGAUGCAUAGCCGACCUGAGAGGGUGAUCGGCCACACUGGAACUGAGACACGGUCCAGACUCCUACGGGAGGCAGCAGUAGGGAAUCUUCCGCAAUGGGCGAAAGCCUGACGGAGCAACGCCGCGUGAGUGAUGAAGGUCUUCGGAUCGUAAAACUCUGUUAUUAGGGAAGAACAUAUGUGUAAGUAACUGUGCACAUCUUGACGGUACCUAAUCAGAAAGCCACGGCUAACUACGUG